GUGUCAGCAGCCGCGGUAAUACGUAGGGGGCUAGCGUUAUCCGGAAUUACUGGGCGUAAAGGGUGCGUAGGUGGUUUCUUAAGUCAGAGGUGAAAGGCUACGGCUCAACCGUAGUAAGCCUUUGAAACUGGGAAACUUGAGUGCAGGAGAGGAGAGUGGAAUUCCUAGUGUAGCGGUGAAAUGCGUAGAUAUUAGGAGGAACACCAGUUGCGAAGGCGGCUCUCUGGACUGUAACUGACACUGAGGCACGAAAGCGUGGGGAGCAAACAGGAUUAGAUACCCUGGUAGUCCACGCCGUAAACGAUGAGUACUAGCUGUCGGAGGUUACCCCCUUCGGUGGCGCAGCUAACGCAUUAAGUACUCCGCCUGGGAAGUACGCUCGCAAGAGUGAA
rnacentral:rRNA from 1 species